CUACGGGGCGCUGCAGUGGGGAAUAUUGCACAAUGGGCGCAAGCCUGAUGCAGCCAUGCCGCGUGUAUGAAGAAGGCCUUCGGGUUGUAAAGUACUUUCAGCGGGGAGGAAGGGAGUAAAGUUAAUACCUUUGCUCAUUGACGUUACCCGCAGAAGAAGCACCGGCUAACUCCGUGCCAGCAGCCGCGGUAAUACGGAGGGUGCAAGCGUUAAUCAGAGUUACUGGGCGUAAAGCGCACGCAGGCGGUUUGUUAAGUCAGAUGUGAAAUCCCCGGGCUCAACCUGGGAACUGCAUCUGAUACUGGCAAGCUUGAGUCUCGUAGAGGGGGGUAGAAUUCCAGGUGUAGCGGUGAAAUGCGUAGAGAUCUGGAGGAAUACCGGUAGCGAAGGCGGCCCCCUGGACGAAGACUGACGCUCAGGUGCGAAAGCGUGGGGAGCAAACAGGAUUAGAUACCCGCGUAGUC
rnacentral:rRNA from 1 species